CCCGAACGCUGGCGGCAGGCUUAACAAAUGCAAGUCGAGCGCCCCGCAAGGGGAGCGGCAGACGGGUGAGUAACGCGUGGGAAUCUACCCAUCUCUACGGAACAACGCAUGGAAACGUGUGCUAAUACCGUAUACGUCCUUCGGGAGAAAGAUUUAUCGUGAGAUGGAUGAGCCCGCGUUGGAUUAGCUAGUUGGUGGGGUAAAGGCCUACCAAGGCGACGAUCCAUAGCUGGGCUGAGAGGAUGCUCAGCCACACUGGAACUGAGACAUGGCCCAGCACCCUACGGGUGACAGUGGUGGAGAAUAUUGAACAAUUGGCGCAAGCCAGGUCCAGCCGUGCCGCGUGAGUAAUGAGGACCCUAGGGUUGUAGAACUCUUUCACCGGUGAGGAUAGUAACGGUGACCGGAGAAGAAGCCCCGGCGAACUUGGUGCCAGCCGCCGCCGUAAAAC
rnacentral:rRNA from 1 species